rnacentral:rRNA from 6 species
CAUGUCCUGUUCAAACGCAUUGCGUGAAACCGCGAACGGCUCAUUAUAACAGCUAUGAUUUACUUGAUCUUGACAAUCCUACAUGGAUAACUGUGGUAAUUCUAGAGCUAAUACAUGCACCUAAGCUCUGACCUCACGGAAGGAGUGCAUUUAUUAGAACAAAACCAGGCGGCCUUGCCGUGUUUUGUUGACUCAGAAUAACUCAGCUGAUCGCAUGGUCUUGCACCGGCGACGUGUCUUUCAAGUAUCUGCCUUAUCAACUUUCGACGGUAGUGUAUCUGACUACCGUGGUAGUGACGGGUAACGGAGGAUUAGGGUUUGACUCCGGAGAAGGGGCCUGAGAAAUGGCCACUACGUCUAAGGAUGGCAGCAGGCGCGCAAAUUACCCACUCUCAGAAUGAGGAGGUAGUGACGAGAAAUAACGAGACCGAUCUUAUUAAGGCCGGUCAUCGGAAUGGGUAAAAUUUAAACCCUUUGACGAGUAUCUAUGAGAGGGCAAGUCUGGUGCCAGCAGCCGCGGUAAUUCCAGCUCUCAAAAUGCAUAGAACCAUUGCUGCGGUUAAAAAGCUCGUAGUUGGAUCUGUGCCUUGGACUUGGUCUAUCUUCGGAUAGUUACUGAGCUCCUUGGCUUAAUGCCGGUUUUCUCGUCGUGGUCUUUAUUGGCUGCGGCGGGUGGCUGGUGAGUUUACUUUGAACAAAUCAGAGUGCUCAAAACAAGCGUUUCGCUUGAAUGCUUUUGCAUGGAAUAAUAGAAGAGGAUUUCGGUUCUAUUUUAUUGGUUUUACGGACUGAUAUAAUGGUUAAUAGAGACAAACGGGGGCAUUUGUAUCGUUGCGUGAGAGGUGAAAUUCUUGGACCGCAGCGAGACAACCAACAG